rnacentral:rRNA from 1 species
ACCAGACUCCUACGGGAGGCAGCAGUGGGGAAUAUUGCACAAUGGGGGGAACCCUGGUGCAGCGACGCCGCGUGGGUGAAGAAGCGCCUCGGCGCGUAAAGCCCUGUCAGCAGGGAAGAAAAUGACGGUACCUGAAGAAGAAGCCCCGGCUAACUACGUGCCAGCAGCCGCGGUAAUACGUAGGGGGCAAGCGUUAUCCGGAUUUACUGGGUGUAAAGGGGGCGCAGACGGCAGCGCAAGCCAGGAGUGAAAGACCGGGGCCCAACCCCGGGACUGCUCUUGGAACUGCGCGGCUGGAGUGCAGGAGGGGCAGGCGGAAUUCCUGGUGUAGCGGUGAAAUGCGUAGAUAUCAGGAGGAACACCGGUGGCGAAGGCGGCCUGCUGGACUGCGACUGACGUUGAGGCCCGAAAGCGUGGGGAGCAAACAGGAUUAGAUACCCGUGUAUU